CGAGCCCCCCCCCCCCCAGUGACUGCCAGCAGCCGCCAAGGUUUGCCUUUGCAGAGCCCCCUACAUCCCUGGAGGAGUCCUGGGGACCACGCUGAGCUACAGGUGCCACCUGGGGGACACGAUAGCCAGAGGCAAGUCCCCUGUGGUCAACCUUCCUCACCAGUGCCCGCUGGUUGGUGGCAAACCCCAACUUCUGCAUCGGUGGGUUCACUCCGUCACGGUGUCCUGGGGUCUGGAGAGGGGGGUGUAUCCCCUGCUGCACCCCAGGCCCCACUGGCAUUCGGCACGGCUGGGAAGGGGCUCCCGGUCCCUGGUUUUAGCACAGUUGGGAACAAGCGCUCGCCCGCAUGCCUGCCUGGGGUUGCCCUUUCUGCUUAGAAACAUUAAUCUCUGGGAGAUGAUCUCUGCCCUUCUCAUUUACUUUGCCAUCUGGUGGUACAGCGUAAGUGCUACCAUACAUUCGCAGAGAAACGAGGUACAGCGUGGAAAAGGCCGUGGGAGCCUGUUGUCCCCAUGGUAAUGCACCUGUACCGGCCCUGGGGCCAACACACCUCUUUGUCCCCUUCUCCUUCGUCCUGUUUCCCUACGGACCAAGACCUCUGCCCUGAGCUCACUGGUCUCUAUUGGUUUCCCAAUAAGUGUAUAAAGCUUGGCUUCUUUUAUUUGACCUUAGCUUUAUUUGUGCUUUUAUUUGCAUUUCAUUUGUGUUUUAACCUCCAGUUCCUCCGGAGUUAACGUGGAAUUUGUGUCUUUUCUGCAAGUGCUGGUACUUGCUCAUGAGGCAAUCGAGGUGCCCGAUAAAUGGGCAAUCGGUCUGCAACGCCAUGAACAGCACUGCCACCGGUGUUUCACCAUCGUGCUGUAAGAUAAAGCUAAUGCUGAUCGCUUCUCCUUCCAGGAAAGUCACGGGGUCCACCAGACAUCCUGAAUGGCAACUUCCAGUGCCCUUAUUUAGUGGCUUUGAUGUGGCCAGACCCCAUCUCACAGCAGGGGCAACUUCUGGUUAAUGACCGGCCUGCAUGCAGUGGUGGGGAGGCCGGGAUGAACCCUUCCCAGGUUGUUGGGAGAAGCUGGGAAAGUACUAAGCUUGUCUUUCUUUAGGUAUGAAUUAACAGGAGUCGUCUUCUGCCAAACGUGUGGUAUCAGGAGAUGGAGUUGAUUGGGAUACAGCAUCUCCAUACUGUGAAACUGCAAGUCUCUGCUCUGGCAUGAUGUUUGCAUCACUUCGAGGCUUUUCAGCGAGUAUCCUGCGGAAAACACCCUUCCUGCCACUGCAGUGAAACAACGAUUCUCUCGAAGAGGAACACGCAUCUCAUUCGAGGGAAAACCACAGCCAGCCAUUUCCAUCAACACGUUACUCUUCUUCUAUAUAAACCCCCGAAGUUCUCCCUUCCUGUCAGAGCCCUGUCCUCCUCAGCUGUCACCGGGCCACCGUGAAACACCAUUUUCGGAAGCCAGUCUUGCAGAACAAGCACUUGCAGAUUGCUGGUUAUUUUUAUGCAUCUCUUACCAUAAGCCAUGUGAGUGACGAGAUGAAAAACCCACAGCGGUAAG